rnacentral:rRNA from 1 species
UACGUAGGGGGCAAGCGUUGUCCGGAUUUAUUGGGCGUAAAGAGCGUGUAGGCGGCCUGAAAGGUCAGCUGUGAAAACUCGAGGCUCAACCUCGAGACGUCGGUUGAAACCAUCUGGCUAGAGUCCGGAAGAGGAGAGUGGAAUUCCCGGUGUAGCGGUGGAAUGCGCAGAUAUCGGGAAGAACACCCGUGGCGAAGGCGGUGGUCUGGGCCGGAACUGACGCUGAAUAGCGAAAGCGUGGGUAGCGAACAGG